AUAAAUUUUAGUGUUAAAUUAGUUUUAUUUAAAUAAUAAAUUUAUUUUUUGUAGUAAUUAAUAUUAAAUAUUUAAGAAAUUAAGAUUUAGUAAUAUUUAAAUUAAUAACAAAUUUUGUGCCAGCAGUUGCGGUUAAACAAAAAUUAAAUUAAAUUUUGUUAGUAAUUAAUAAAUAAAAUGUUAUAUAAUUUAAAAUUUAAAUUAUUAAGUGAAAUUUUAAUUUAAUAAAAUAUUAUAUUAUAUUAUGAAUUAAUAAAUUUUAUUACAAACUAGGAUUAGAUACCCUAUUAUUAAAAUUUUAAAUUUAAAUACUAAAAUAGUAAUUAAUUUAUUUAUUGAAACUUAAAUAACUUGGCGGUAUUUUAGUUCAUUUAGAGGAAUCUGUUUAAUAAUUGAUAAUCCACGAAUAAAUUUACUUAAUUUUUAAUUUUGUAUAUCGUUGUUAAAAAAAUAUUUUUUUUAAAUAAUAAUAUUUUAAAUUUAUAAUAAAAAUUAAAUCAGAUCAAGAUGCAGAUUAUAAUUAAGAAUAUAAUGGAUUACAAUAAAUUUAUUUAUAUGAAUUUUAUUUUGUAAUAAAUAUUUGAAAGUGGAUUUAAAUGUAAUUUUAUUUAUUUUAAUAAAAUGAUUUAAAAUUGAAAUAUGUACAUAUUGCCCGUCGCUUUCAUAUGAAUAUAAUAAAAUUGAAAUAAGUCGUAACAAAGUAGGGGUACUGGAAAGUGUUUCUAGAAAGAC
rnacentral:ncRNA from 1 species